AAAAACCAAACGUUAACGAAAACGAAGUUCUGCUUACCAAGUCGAUUAAAGAAUCCGACAAUUCUAGUAGCACGAUUGAAUGACAAGUUCACGAACAGAAUUGAGGAAGAAUAAAGAAAAGAUUUACAGGGAAAAAGGAAAAAUGUCAGAAAGGAAAAGGAAGGGAAAAGACAACGUCAGAAAAUUAAAGAAAUGAACGUUAGAGGGAAUUUGGGAAGAGAGAGAAAAAAAUAAAAAAUAAAAACAAAUAGAAUCCCACAAUCCCCCAAUUUUAGGCAUAAUAUUCUACUAACCCAAUCCCAACUAUCCACUCUCUCAUCCACUUACACGGACUUCCAAACCAAUUUAAACUCUCUUAAACAACCGAGACAAAAAUUAACAUCCACACUCACAUGAGGAUUCGAACACAAGACCUCCAAC
rnacentral:lncRNA from 1 species